GCAAAGUACUUCGGUGUGUAAAAGUGUCAUCCCAACCUGGGUGCCACGAACACAGACCCCCGAUGACGGGGGUCCCUUCGUGGGGCCCAUGUGACAGAUGAGGAAAUUGAAGUUUAGCAUGGUUCCCAGAAAUAGAAGCCAUCUAUAUUUCACUGCGCAUCUUUCACCAGGGCUGGACUCCAAGCUGAAAGCCUUUAUACUUGCUGUUCUCCCUCUCUGGAACCUUCUUCCUCCAGAUCUCGAACUGGGAGGAGGCAGAGACAGAGGGGGACAGAGGAUCUGAAGCGGGCUCCACCCUGACAGCAGCAAGCCCAGUGCGGGGCUCAAACUCGCGAACCAAGCCGUGAGGUCAUGACCGGAGCCGAAGUUGGACAGUCAACCGUCUGAGCCACCCCGGUGCCCCAGAGGCCACACUCUUAACCUCUCUGCUAUCAUGCCUCUCCGUGGGGUCAGAGCCACGAUUAUCCCCAAUCUACAGAGAAGGAAGCUGAGAUACGGACAGGCUAAGAAACUCGACCGAAAGUAUCAUCAAUCUUUUUAAUUGUUGCAAAUGCGAUGCGUGAAAAAUGGGUGGAAAAAGCGUAUCUCUUUUUCUUUCCCUUUCUUUUUAAAAUCUGACAACAGUUUGUUUUAUUACUUGGGUAAGGAGAGUUUCUCUACUUAAAGGUCUGUAAAAUGGGAGUUCUUUGGCCAUCUACAUCUGACUGAUUCCAGAUGGAAGCUAAAUCCAGACCCCCUUUACCCCUAAAAUACCUCUUAAAAGGAAUCAUCUGUUAAUUUCCAAAUAAGUUAUUUUGGAGAGGUAAAUCACAAAAACAUUUGCAUUUACAAGUUUAUAAUGCCUAAAGGCAACGUAGUAUCCUGGAUUGGAUCGUGGGCGGGGAUAUCAGUGAGGACACUAGGGAAAUCCCUGAUAUCUGUUUUGUUAAUGGUAUUGCACCAAUGUUAAUGUCUUAUGUUUUAAAAUGUUUUUUUUGUGAAGUAAAUGUCUACACCCAACGUGGGGCUUGAACUCACAACCCCGAGAUCGAGAGUCGGAUGUGCCACCCACUGAGCCAGCCAGGCGCCCCUGAUUUCUCAGUUCUGAUGAACCUACAUGGGUUCACGGCAAGACGUGGCCGGCAGUGGGGGAACAGGCACUCUGCAUUCACUCUGCAACUUUCCCAUAAAUCGAACAUUAUUCCGAAUAGAAAGUUAAAAAAAAAAAAAAAGCGUUUCAUGCUAAUUUCUAGGUCCGUAAACACACUCCUAAUGUGGCAAGGCCAACAUGGGAAACACCUGGUGGUGGCCACAUUUUGGUGAAAAAAGAAAAUCUCUGUUAUCCUUCUGCUGGACAAAAGGGUAUAUUUAGCUUCAGAUUUUUUUUUUUUUUUUUUUUUUGUGGUGUGACCUUUGCAUUCUGAAAUGAAUUAGAGGUUUAUGUGUAAGAAUGUCGAGCUCAGGAAAUCAGGAAGUCGAUGGGGUACCCGCCUUCCUGUCAUAUUUCACUUGUUUACGUGGACGAGCGUCAUCAGGAGGAGAGAUUUUGUUAGACUGUGUUGGCACAACCCCGUUCUGAGGUCUGAAAUCAGCUGUGUGUCGCUGAACCCCGCCGCCUCGGCCACAUCCCUUGAAAUUCUUGUGUCACAUGUCAAUGGCACGGGGUCGUGGAAUAAUUAUAAUUUUAGUUAAAUUAUUAUUUGCAUGUGCUCUGUCUAUGGCUAUUUUGAUCUGAAAUAAAUUGCUCUCUUUUAUUUUGCAGACGGGAACAAAGUUUUUCUUUGUUUGUUUCUUUCUUUCUUUUUUUUUUUUAAGAUUUUCUCUCUCCCCCCAACUUGGGGCUCGAAUCCACAACCCCGAGAUUAAGAACCUCCUGUUCCCCCGAGCCAGCCAGGAGCCCUGAGUAACAGAAUUAUUUUUAUGUCUCAAAUACAACGUGAGGGAAAUUUUGGGAAGCAAACCAUGCCCCCCCCCCACCAUAACUUCAUACGGCUGGUAAACAUUGGAGACGGGAGCAUUGUCUUUAUUUGCUAAGAAAUGUAGCAUCUUCCAGGCAGAUAACAAAAAAAGGCUAAUUUCCAGAGAAUUCUGGCUAGAUUGCUCACUCCUCCCUGCCAGCGCUUAACGUGUUGUCUGGCACAUUUUUGUGGAGUGAAUCAAGGAAGAGAGACACAAUUCACAUACUUUUCUUGCGUGUAAGAUCUUCAGCAAGGAUAAAAACACUCGGUGCAGGAAUGCUAAAGCAGCAUACUUAACAAUGGGAUUAAAAGAGAAUGUUCGCUGCCUCGGCUAUGCGUUUUUAGACGUUGUCUUUAUCCUAAGCAGUUUCUAAAUUAAGAAUGAGUAAAGGUGGAUUACUUUCCAUUUACUCAAAUCCGACCAGGUUUGAUUUCUCACAAAUACUCCAAUGCUUAUAUUUUGUAUUCAUUCAUGAAACAAAUGUAGGGGUUUGGGCUGGGCUUUUCUUCAAAUGGCAUUUUAAAACGGGAGCAUAUGUUUCAAGGAGUAAUUAGCGAUUGUUUAAUAGAACGACCCUUCAGGCCAGAAAGGCUGUGGGUCAGAAUUGUUAACAGGCAAAGCAAUGAAAAAUAGUAAAGCAUUAGCAGAUAGCAUAAAUAGUCAAAUCUGACCUCCAGAGGUCAAGAAAGAACUAAAUAAUUUGGUCACAGCGCUGGCUGAUUUAAAUCAAUGCAAUCCCAAUUUCCUUUUUUUUUUUUUUUUUUUUUUUUUGCUGGUUUGCCUUUGGUAUUUAUUCCACGGUCGAGUACUCACCAGCGUCAGAAGGGAGAUAGAGAGCAGGGGGUAGGCUGUGCUCAGCGAUAGAAUUUUACUAAAUGUGGGUGGCUUCGAGGGAAAAAAACCAGCCAGAAGUAUUUCAGGAACCACACGAAACUCUUUAAACAGAACACCAUUGUUGCCCCACGACUUGGUUUUGUUUCUCUAAGGAUGAUUUAUGAUGGUAACACCAAUAUAAAUACAUAAUUAACUAUGGAAGCAUUUUCUAUCUCAGCUUUCCCACAUUUUUUUACUUUAGGCGUUUUAGAUUUAAAAUGAUACACUUGCCCUCUAAGACGGAGAACCAGCAAAAUCUGUUAAGUUGCUGGACCAAAUGAGAAGUUUUCAUUGUUUUUUUUUUGUUUUUUGUUUUUUUUUUUUUACAGGGAAGAGAAGACGAGCAUUCUUUCAGAUUUCCAUGCCCCGAUUUUUAAAAUUACUCCCUUCCUCUUCACCCCUUCUGCCUGCUUUUUUUCCACGAAGGAUGAUUCUCCUUUGUACAUCUCCCAUGUAGAUAAUACAUGUGGCUGUUCACAUCUAUUUCCUUUAUUUCUUAAAGUAAUAAACCGAUACCCAGUUUUGAUUAGGAAAAGGCCAUUUCAAGGAAAAAAAAAUUCUUUUGGUGAUGACAAAAUCACUUUAAGACCCGGGGGUAACGAUGCCUCAGUGACAAAACAAAUUUGCCACAAAUCAUUGUACAAAGGAACAGCAGGAUCUGAGCCUCAACUCCGGGUCUGUCCUUAUUCAUCGUUCAUUUGUUUUGGAAACUCCACCCUCCUCCUGCCAUGUUCAAUAUCUAAUUGGCAUUCUGACCCUUCAGAUAACUCAGCAUCUGCUACUCGGAUGCAUCUUGGAAACGCUUUGUCCCCUCCAGGCGGAGUUCAAGGGGCUCUCUUUACUGAUACACCAGAUUCAUGCAUGCCAUUGUAUACGAACCUCCCGGAGCUGAAUGGAGACAACACUCCUGCAAGCCAAUAGGAAAAAUUGAGCCACCUCCGUAUUCUAACUCAGUCAUAUUCCACAGAUGGAAAAUUACGGAUGGUUGGGGUACAGGGCCGCGAACUAACCAAUUAAGCUAACUUCUUUAAUAAGCAGCUCCAGGCGGCUGUCCGCCCAUCUAUUUUUACUUCAGGGUGUCUCUACAUUUUGGCUCGGUCAUCUUUGCUUGUACCUGUUAGGAGUCGACGUCCGAAUGAAAGUUUCAUCUCCUAAAAUGGAUUUCGGGGAUAUAAGCUGGAAACUUUUGGGGAGAGCCACGCAGAUG